rnacentral:rRNA from 1 species
UACGUAGGGGACGAGCGUUGUCCGGAAUUACUGGGCGUAAAGAGCUCGUAGGUGGUUUGUCGCGUCGUCUGUGAAAUUCCGGGGCUUAACUUCGGGCGUGCAGGCGAUACGGGCAAUACUUGAGUGCUGUAGGGGAGACUGGAAUUCCUGGUGUAGCGGUGAAAUGCGCAGAUAUCAGGAGGAACACCGAUGGCGAAGGCAGGUCUCUGGGCCACUACUGACGCUGAGAAGCGAAAGCAUGGGGAGCGAACAGGAUUAGAUA